CUGAAUCUUGUGUUCUCCAUCAUAAUCAGAUUAAUUUCAAGAUGUACUGCAAGCUCUUGUGUUACAGGUAGAACAUGUAAGCUUCUUCAUUUAGAGACAUGAAAUUACAGGUAGAACAGGUAAGCUUCUUUACUUCAUGGCUGGAUGGCAAGGCUUUCUUAUUUGUUAACUGAUUCCCUUAGAGCCCUAGGAAGCUUCAGAGAUAGGGACGGAUAAUAUCUGAAGAGUGGCGGAUUGUUAUAGUUAUUUGGGUUUCUUUGUAAUGGGUAAUCAUUUGGAAAAUCUUGUGUGUAGUCUGAAAUCCAAGUUAAAGGGUAUGCAAAAGAAAAAGCCUUACAGGAAGAUAGAUAAGAGUGAUAGCAUGAGAAUGGAAGCGAAAAGCCAACGUGCACAGAAGCUAAUUGCUCAGACUCUUAAGUUUGCUGAUGAACCUGGUAAAAAAGCUGUUGUAUUUUAAGUAAUAAUCUAAGGAUGUUCUUGGAUCUUUCAUCUUUCCUUCCAGUAAUUAAAAUCUGUUCCUCU